GAUUAAAUGCGUUAUUGGCUUUCUACGGUUCAGUAAGAAGCAUGUGUUCAGAGGAUGAUGAUAUUGAUGAAGUCAGUUCUGAGCAUGAAAGGACUGUUACAAAUGAACGAGCAAUGGAAUAGGCUAAGGUUUGGGUACGUUUAGAAAGAAGAGGUGACAAAGGAGUAACCCUUGGGGAGAUGUGGCUGGAUGUGCAUCCCCUGUUUUGGGUUCUGCAAUGGUUAUUCCCCGUGAUUCGCGUAAUCCUACUAAUCCUUAGAAAUUUGAGCUUGCAGUAUAUCCUGAUCCCAGGUAUCAUGGAGCACAAUUCUGUUUUCUAUUUGAAUUUUCUAAAUCUACAUAUUAUUCCAACAUUUUGAGUCAUAUGUUGCAUAGACACUUGAAAAAAGGGAAAGCACGAAACUUACUGCUUUGAAUCUGUAAAUGGUUGUGAGAGUUUUGGAAAUUUUCAAUUAAUUUUGAAAUGGAAAAUUUCAAUAUUGAUACUGUAUAGUUUUUUCUUUUUAUAGAAGUUUAUAUAUUUUUUAUUUAGUCGUAAUUUCUCUGCAGAUCAAUUUAGUAAUUAAAUUCUGCAUAGCUGAUCACAAUCUUAGAACCAACAAAGAGAAAAUCAAGCAUGGCUUUAGUUCAAACUAAGAACUGAAAGUGGGGUGGAUUUACUCAAACUUGCACCAAUUUUCAAGUGAAAGAUAUAUCAGCUUGUUGCAGCCUACACUAGUCUAGUCUAGAAUGCAAAUAAUAGCUCUUUCUGUACUUUUAAGAAGUGCCACAUUCUAUGCUAGUUCUUUUUAAAUUUAAAUUUACACAGUAAUUAAUAGUCAUUCAGGUCAGCUCCAUCAUUUCUCUAAUUUAUUGAGGUCUCUUGAUGAAUUAACAGAUUGCCCAGCCUCAUACAGUUUUUAAGCUUGGAAGGCUAAUAUUGAGGAACCAGAUUUUAACUAGUUUUUAAGCUUAUAUGUAUUUAUGCAUGUAUGAAUGUGAUAUGGAUAAGAUUGUUUGUGUUUGGAUGAAUGUAAUUUAUGUUUGGAUGGAUUUACUAGUUUGGGUUUAGAUGGAUGUGAAUGUGAAUAUGAUGAAAUAUAUUAUAUAACAGUUGUAUAUCAGGAUGAAUAUCAUGAAAUAUAUUGUAACAGGUGUAUAUCA